ensembl:lincRNA
ACGAAUGGACACCCACCUGGGAAUGCAGAUGUGCAUCAGGAAAGGCUGGCGCGUUCAGAAAAGGACACAGAAUCCCUUGUUCUUCAGGGGCUAAUCCAGGAGAUCAAUUAUUUGAGAUUAAAAGUCAGUGAAAUGGACAGUGAAAGAACUGACUUUGAAAAAAAAGCUUAAAUCAAUCAAAGAUGAACUGGCAUCUUCAAAAGAAUAACUAGAAGAAAAAGAAUCUGAAAUAAAAAGGCUACAAGAAAAAAUUUGUUUGCAAGAUGAAAAGAGAAAGGAUUGAAAUUCUCAAUGGAGCUGAAACAGAAAAGGAGACAGCAGAGCACCCAGAUCUGGCUGCAUCUUCUCAGCUGAAAGGCUCACAGUGGAACAGUACCUUUCUAGGAUCUCUGCCAUCUCUGGAUUCCAAAAAGAAAUCCAGAGGUAUCAUGAAACUCUUUGGAAAAUAUAGGAGAAGUCAGUUGUCGACAACAUUCAACCCAGAUGGCAUGUCUGAGUCUGAAUUCAAAAGAAGAGGGACAGGGGCAACUGCAGGGCCCCCAUUGGAUUGAUCUUGAGAUUUGGGACAGUCUAGCAGGUAAGAACAGCCAAACUAAUGGACUUUUGUAUCUGUACUAUUCAUCAAAGCCUUAUGAGUUCCUGCAGUGUUCGUACCUUCAUUAGGUUAAACAAAGUCAUUGCUUAUGCUGGGCCUACUGGGUGGGUCCGUCAUCUAUAGAGUGGUGCAAUUUGUCAGUGGUCGAUGAACAACUAUACAGAAGGUGAGGGCUAUGUGAACUAGUUGAGGAGCCAGAGCUAAAGUGUCAACAACAUCUAUAUUAGAACAGUUCCUGGACUUAAGUUUCACAUAAACAGUAAUAAGUAUUCUAUAGCAGAGCUUUAGAAAGAUGGGAUGGCGUGGUGGUUACUUGGAUUUGAUUUCUCGCCUUAUGGUUUUCUACCAGUUGGGUGACCCUGAGCAAUGACUUCUGUGCUCUGUGCCUUAGUUUUCUCAUCAUAGUAAUUAGUACCUACUCAAAAAGAGGAUUGUGAAGAUUAAAUGAGUUAGUAUAUGUUAAGUGUCUGGCAGACAAUAACUGCUCAAUAAGCAUUCAUAAUUAAUGGAGUCUAUGAAAGCACUUAAAGAAAUAAAUUCUACCAAAAUUCUUAGAUUUAUCAAGACUACACAAUGUUUUACCUAUUAAGACUCUAAGAAUGGUUGGACAUGGUGGUUUAUGCCUUUAAUCCAGCACUAUGGGAGGCAAAGGCAAGAGGAUCACUUGAGGCCAGGAGUUCAAGACCAGCCUGAGCAACAUAGCCAGACUCUGUCUCUACAAAAACUGGAAAAGUUAGGUUGUGGUGGUCCAUUCCUGUAGUUCCAGCUACUCAGGAGACUGAGGCAGGAGGAUCACUUGAGCCCAGGAGUUUGAGUCUGCUGCGAGCUAUGAACAUACCACUGUACUCCAGCCCUGGCAACAGAGCAAGACCCCCUCUCUAUUAAAAAAAAAAAAGACUCUAAGAACUUAGACACUCUUAUCAAAGUUUAGAGCUUGUUUAUAUAUACUACGCUGACUUACUAAGCUUAAAAGGGUGCGAUUGGCAACCAUAAAGCACAAAGUGUUGGUACCAAAUUCCUUAAAAGUAUAAUGGGCUAGAAAGAUUUUGAACACACUGUCUUCCACACAGGCAAAACCCUGGACACAGGUUUUAUUAAGGAGGUAACUCUCUUUGUCUCACUGGACACAUGUUCUCUUUGUACAUAGCAGAGGACAUCUGGUGCUAGUUUAAAAAAAAUGUUUUGUUCAUUUUCACAUCUUUUUCCCCAAACAGAAAUACUAUUUGUGUGUCUCAGUAAAAGAAAACAGGGAUUUUGCUUUGAUUACUCUUUCCUACAGUCAGUGCUAGCAUAUUGCCCUCUUCUCAUAAAUUACCAUCUGUAGAAAAACCGUAAUUCUGCUAAAGUUAAUUCCAAUUUGACUUGAGUUUCUUUUAGUCUGAGUUUCCUGUUUGGGAAUCCAAUCUUCAAAUAACUGGUUGAAACUGGUACAAUGAUUCCUGUUGGUUCAACUUGAUCUUUUUCUCCAGAACAUGGUCUUGCUAUAUCACAUUAAAUCUUUUGUGGUUUCAUUGAAAUAAAGACAGUGGUCUUAGAAGGUAACUUUCAACUCUGGUACCAAUUCCUCCUCCAGUACAUACAAAAAAAUUAAGCUUUUCACGGUCAAAUGUGUAUCAAUGGGAAAUUUCCAUAUCUAUUGAAUGUACAGUUAUUCAGAACUCUCGAUAAGCCAAAGGAUUGGCUUUGAAUUGUUUUUUAUGCAGUUAUUCGUUUCCCCAUAGUGACUUGGAUUUACCAUUUGCCAAGUGGACCAAGCAAGUGUGCAGUUGGCUUGUGAAACAGGGUUUGAGCUUUUACCUGUAUUCUGGUCAGCCCUGGAUAAUAUCUGGCCAAACACUUUUGUAAGCUUCUCAACCAGAGAAGGUGACUGCUUCUCUGUUUUGUUUACAAGAUGGAUAUUGAGGGGAAAAGAAUAUGAAUGUAGGAUUGUUUUAUACUCCAGAAAGGGACAUGGGUGAAGCCAGUAAGUACUUCUGAAAAAGUUUGGGUUUUUAACUGCUUCACACUUCUG